rnacentral:tRNA from 1 species
GGGAAUGUAACUCAGUUGGUAGAGUGCUUGCCUAGCAUACAUGAAGCCCUGUGUUUGAUCCACAGCACCA